GUGUGAUUCGUCACACUAUCAUUAACUGAAUCCAUAGGUUAAUGAGGCGAACCGGGGGAACUGAAACAUCUAAGUACCCCGAGGAAAAGAAAUCAACCGAGAUUCCCCCAGUAGCGGCGAGCGAACGGGGAGGAGCCCAGAGCCUGAAUCAGCAUGUGUGUUAGUGGAAGCGUCUGGAAAGGCGCGCGAUACAGGGUGACAGCCCCGUACACAAAAGCGCAUGUGCUGUGAGCUCGAUGAGUAGGGCGGGACACGUGGUAUCCUGUCUGAAUAUGGGGGGACCAUCCUCCAAGGCUAAAUACUCCUGACUGACCGAUAGUGAACCAGUACCGUGAGGGAAAGGCGAAAAGAACCCCGGCGAGGGGAGUGAAAAAGAACCUGAAACCGUGUACGUACAAGCAGUGGGAGCACAGGUUUACCUGUGUGACUGCGUACCUUUUGUAUAAUGGGUCAGCGACUUAUAUUCUGUAGCAAGGUUAACCGAAUAGGGGAGCCGGAGGGAAACCGAGUCUUAAUUGGGCGUUAAGUUGCAGGGUAUAGACCCGAAACCCGGUGAUCUAGCCAUGGGCAGGUUGAAGGUUGGGUAACACUAACUGGAGGACCGAACCGACUAAUGUUGAAAAAUUAGCGGAUGACCUGUGGCUGGGGGUGAAAGGCCAAUCAAACCGGGAGAUAGCUGGUUCUCCCCGAAAGCUAUUUAGGUAGCGCCUCGUGAAUUCAUCUCCGGGGGUAGAGCACUGUUUCGGCUAGGGGGCCAUCCCGGCUUACCAACCCGAUGCAAACUGCGAAUACCGGAGAAUGUUAUCACGGGAGACACACGGCGGGUGCUAACGUCCGUCGUGAAGAGGGAAACAACCCAGACCGCCAGCUAAGGUCCCAAAGUCAUGGUUAAGUGGGAAACGAUGUGGGAAGGCCCAGACAGCCAGGAUGUUGGCUUAGAAGCAGCCAUCAUUUAAAGAAAGCGUAAUAGCUCACUGGUCGAGUCGGCCUGCGCGGAAGAUGUAACGGGGCUAAACCAUGC
rnacentral:rRNA from 1 species